UACGAAGGGGGCUAGCGUUGUUCGGAGUUACUGGGCGUAAAGGGUGUGUAGGCGGUUGCUUAAGUUUGGUGUGAAAUCUCCCGGCUCAACUGGGAGGGUGCGCCGAAUACUGAGUGACUAGAGUGCGGGAGAGGAAAGUGGAAUUCCUGGUGUAGCGGUGAAAUGCGUAGAUAUCAGGAGGAACAUCGGUGGUGUAGACGGCUUUCUGGACCGUAACUGACGCUGAGACACGAAAGCGUGGGUAGCAAACAGG
rnacentral:rRNA from 1 species